rnacentral:rRNA from 1 species
UACAGAGGUCUCGAGCGUUAGGCGGAAUCACUGGGCUUAAAGCGUGUGUAGGCGGAUCGUUAAGUGCCUUGUGAAAUCCCACGGCUCAACCGUGGAACUGCUUGGCAUACUGGCGGUCUUGAGCAACCUAGGGGCGAGCGGAACAAAUGGUGGAGCGGUGAAAUGCGUAGAUAUCAUUUGGAACGCCAAUGGUGAAAACAGCUCGCUGGGGGUUUGCUGACGCUGAGACACGAAAGCCAGGGGAGCAAACGGG